rnacentral:rRNA from 1 species
CACGAACGCUGGCGGCAGGCUUAACACAUGCAAGUCGAGCGCCCCGCAAGGGGGGCGGCAGACGGGUGAGUAACGCGUGGGAAUCUACCCAUCUCUACGGAAUAACGCAUGGAAACGUGUGCUAAUACCGUAUGCGUCCUUCGGGAGAAAGAUUUAUCGGAGAUGGAUGAGCCCGCGUUGGAUUAGCUAGUUGGUGGGGUAAAGGCAUACCAAGGCGAGGAUCCAUAGCUGGUCCGAGAGGAUGAUCAGACACACUGGGACUGAGACACGGCCCGGACUCCUACGGGAGGCAGCAGUGGGGAAUAUUGGACAAUGGGCGCAAGCCUGAUGCAGCCAUGCCGCGUGAGUGAUGAAGGCCCUAGGGUUGUAAAGCUCUUUCACCGGUGAAGAUAAUGACGGUAACCGGAGAAGAAGCCCCGGCUAACUUCGUGCCAGCCGCCGCGGUAAAAC